CCUACGUGUGGCUGCAGUGAGGAAUAUUCGUCAAUGGGCGCGAGCCUGAACCAGCCAAGUAGCGUGAAGGAUGAAUGCCCUACGGGUUUUAAACUUCUUUUAUAAAGGAAUAAAGUGAGGCACGUGUGCCUUUUUGUAUUUACUUUAUGAAUAAGGAUCGGCUAACUCCGUGCCAGCAGCCGCGGUAAUACGGAGGAUACGAGCGUUAUCCGGAUUUAUUGGGUUUAAAGGGAGCGUAGAUGGGUUGUUAAGUCAGUUGUGAAAGUGUGCGGCUCAACCGGAAAAUUGCAAUUGAUACUAGCAGCCUUGAGUACAGUUGAGGUAGGCGGAAUUCGUGGUGUAGCGGUGAAAUGCGUAGAUAUCACGAAGAACUCCGAUUGCGAAGGCAGCUUACUAAACUGCCACUGACAUUGAUGCUCGAAAGUGUGGGUAUCAAACAGGAUUAGAUACCCCUGUAGUC
rnacentral:rRNA from 1 species